rnacentral:rRNA from 1 species
GAAUUCGCCCUUGGGGAAUUUUCCGCAAUGUGCGAAAGCCUGACGGAGCAAUACCGCGUGAGGGAGGAAGGCUCUUGGGUUGUAAACCUCUUUUCUCAGGGAAGAACAGAAUGACGGUACCUGAGGAAUAAGCAUCGGCUAACUCCGUGCCAGCAGCUGCGGUAAUACGGAGGAUGCAAGCGUUAUUCGGAAUGAUUGGGCGUAAAGGGUCCGCAGGUGGCAUUGUAAGUCUGCUGUUAAAGAGUUUGGCUCAACCAAAUAAGAGCAGUGGGAACUACAAAGCUAGAGUGUGGUCGGGGCAGAGGGAAUUCCUGGUGUAGCGGUGAAAUGCGUAGAUAUCAGGAAGAACACCAGUGGCGAAGGCGCUCUGCUAGGCCGAGACUGACACUGAGGGACGAAAGCUAGGGGAGCGAAUGGGAUUAGAUACCCCAGUAGUCCUAGCCGUAAACGAUGGAUACUAGGCGUAGCUCGUAUCGACCCGAGCUGUGCCGGAGCUAACGCGUUAAGUAUCCCGCCUGGGGAGUACGCAGGCAACUGUGAAACUCAAAGGAAUUGACGGGGGCCCGCACAAGCGGUGGAGUAUGUGGUUUAAUUCGAUGCAACGCGAAGAACCUUACCAAGGCUUGACAUGUCACGAAUCCUAUUGAAAGAUGGGAGUGCCUUCGGGAGCGUGAA